rnacentral:rRNA from 1 species
UACGUAGGGGGCAAGCGUUGUCCGGAAUCAUUGGGCGUAAAGCGCGUGUAGGCGGCCCGGUAAGUCCGCUGUGAAAGUCGGGGCUCAACCUCGAAUGCCGGUGGAUACUGUCGGGCUAGAGUGCGGGAGAGGCGAGUGGAAUUCCUGGUGUAGCGGUGAAAUGCGCAGAUAUCAGGAGGAACACCAAUUGCGAAGGCAGCUCGCUGGAACGUAACUGACGCUGAGACGCGAAAGCGUGGGGAGCAAACAGG